UAUAGAAUUUUUCUUCUUCUCACACAGAUACAUCGAUCAGUUCUACCUCUCACACAGAUGUUCGACCACCAAACCUCACCCUACAUCACCUCACAUCACCUUAGCGCAGACCACCAACGUCGCCACCGCCAUUGCCACUGCCACCGUCGCAUUCUCACAGGUACUCUCUCACUCUCGGUCUGUCUCUCUCUCACUCGCGGUUUGUCUUUCUCUCUGUUUCUCGCUCUGUCUACCUCGGUCACUCUCUCUCCCUCUCUGUCCCCCUUUCUCUAUUUCCCCUUUAUGAAUCUUGCUCUAGGGUUGUUAUGAUUUGUUCAAUUUAAAUUGGUAUUGAUUACAAAAAAUGGGUUUGGUUGAAGUGGUUUAUUUCUCCCUUUCUGAAUCUGUUGUUUCCCUCUUUAUAUUUAAUGUUUUUUAUCAUCAAUUUCUACAUCUAGCUUUGAUAUAUAAUGCUUGUGUUUGUUAUUGAAUUAGAUUCUAGCUAUAAUAAUUUUCUUACUCUUUAGAAAUUGUUAUUUCACGGGUGAAGUAGAUAUCAUCUUCAUUCUUUAUUGAAGCAGAUUUCUGCAGACAUUUUUUCUUAUGUAGUAAUUUUGACUGCACAAUUCUAUAGAGAGCUUAAGUGGUUAUUUGCAAAUCCUUGUGGUUGCAUAUAAAUAUAUAUGAAUUGUUGUCAAUUGGUUUUCUUCCCUAUAUUCCAUUUGUGAAAUACUGAAGAUUGCAGAAAGAUAUGCAUGUCUGGGUUGGUUGAAAAUUAUUUCCUAUGUCAAAAUGACUACUGAAUGAAGGAAUUGGGCUUCCGGCUUCCUCAAAGAAAAGGUUAGUUGACUCAACUUGAUGACAAAGUCAUUUGCACCAUGUUAAUCGGUGUCAUUUUUUCAGAUUUCGUGAGUUUCUCCUCUGUUUUGCAGUAUGCCUUACAGGUUUGUUCAGUUAUAGAGAAUUGUAGAUAAAAAGAAUGAUUGUUAUUGUUUUGAUCUUUAAAUUUCAAUUGCUUGGUGCAUGAAUGUGAUACAAUUGGUAAUUUUCUUCUUUGGGUAGUACCAGUUGUACACAAGUAUUAUAAUUAGUUUUAUGAUUUAGCUGAUGCAUUAUAUGAUUUUAGUUUAUGAGCUUAUUUCAAAUCAUAUAUUAUGCAUGAAUAGUGCAAAUUUUGAGGUGAAAGAUUUUUAUUUAUAUUGCAUCUUUGAGUUACUUUACCACAGGUCUAUGCUUGAGGACAUGCCCACCAAUUGUUUGGUUAAAUUUCUCAAUGCCUAUUAUCAUGUCAAACUAUCCUAUUAAAUGGUGCUGGGUCAAUACUCUUGGGGGCAUAAUCGAAAAGCUACUAUCAAAGAUAAGAUGGAAACAAAAGAGCUUAUACAAUGGAGGUUGAGGAAGAGGAAGAGGGGACAGAUGAUGAUGAGGAGGAGGAGGAAGAGGAUGAACUUGAAGCAAAAGCUUUGAGAAAGAAAACAGAAAACGAAAAAGGGGAAAGAUUUACUAUUAUAUGUAUUUUUUGUUGUAAUUCAUUUGAUUAGCAACUUACAUAUUUCAUGUUUAUUAUUGAACAGCACUUUGAGCCAUCAGAAGUUGGUAUGCUAGCUAGGUGCUUGUGCAUUCCAUUUGUUUCAAUUCGUGUUGGGAAGAUCAACAAGCAAGGGACUCUCUUGUGCCCAACAGGUACAAAAUGCUAUCCUGUAGAACUUGAAUGGAGGAAAGAUUGAACUUCCUUUUGGUAGCAGGAACUGUAUCAUGAGUUACAUGCCUUGGACAGAUUUGAGCAAGAUUAUCGACACAAGCAACAAGAAGAGGACAACUCAAAUGCUUCUCAAAGAGUGUGUACUAUUAGGUGCUAUCCCAUUCUCUGCCGAUGUUGAACGGUUGAAAGAUCUUGGUGUUUAUGAAGUAAUCACCUUAACUGAGCCAUAUGAGACUUUGGUUCCAAAAUCUCUAUAUCAAAUUUGAGAUUAAAUAUGGACAUGUUUGGUAAUCUGGAGAGCAUUACAGGAUAUGUUUGGUCAUUCACACUUGAUAUUAUAUUUUUGUGGAUAUUAGUAGACAUGUUUUUUAUGAAUAUUAGGAGACGUGUUUGGUAAUCCGCAUGCGGUUAAUAUUGUAUUUUUGUGGAUAUUAGUAGACAUGUUUUUUAUGGAUAUUAGGAGACAGGUUUGGUGUUCCGCAUGCAGUUGAUAUUGUAUUUUUGUAGAUAUUGUGCUGAAAUUCGACUGUGGUGUUUAUGAAAAUGAACAGAUUUUUUUU